CCGCGACAGCCAGACCUUCGUUAUUUUAUAAAAGCUGAAAGUUUCUCUGUGUAUGUCUCCAGCACAGGUAAGAACGACCCCCGACUAUAGAGUUCCGAUUGUGGUUGCUUGGGCAGGUAACAGGCAGUAAAGGUAUAUAAAAUAGUACCUUAAAUUCGUUAAAGUAUAAAGUUAUUUUUUUUUAUUAAUUACUCCAGAAUAUCUUUAGAAAUCACGAUAUCCAUUGCCGGACACUUUUUACAGUUGCUACCCCCUGCCGGACACCCCUAAACUUUAAUAAGUUUUAAUUAUACUUUCGUUAAACUAUAAAAGCUGAAUUUUAUAUAUAUUACUUAGGGACUUAUAAAAAUAUGUUACCCCAAUAGCCAGACAGUUUUAAUGGUUCUUACAUCUUGCCGGACACAUUGAGAGCCCGCUGUGCGAGCGCGAGGUAGCAACUGUUCAUGCGGGUGUGAGUGAGACAGAGUGCUUAGUCUAUUGUGAUCUUUUACUGCACAUCAGCUGUCAUUUCUGGGAUUUAUCGUGCAUUCUUCAGGAAAGGAAAAUUAAAACCAAGUAAAACAUUAAAAAAAUAUCCAAAGUACCAGGAAGCUUUCAAGAAUUUCCGUAACAGCGAAUCAAUUGAAAAUUUAGAUCAACAACAAAACAUCUAUAAUAUCAUUCAGAUUUAUAUGCAAUGUUUACAAUGUCCGUAAUGUAAUUGAUGUUGAUGCUGCUCGACUUCAAAUAUUCAUCGACUCGUAUACAGUCUCUGAUGUAAACGAAGCUUUUGACCGAAAGAAAUUGCGAAUUUUUUACGUUAGCAAUCUACCAACUUGUAAAAGCGAGCUAUUGCAGCAAUUUUUGCGAUCAAAUUAUAUAUAUAAAAUUUGGAAUAGUGCUCAUCUAAAAAAUCCAACCUCAUAUCAACCCGGAUAAUAAUGGCAGGGUAUUGAAAGAUGACAAAUACCAAGUUAUGUUGGAGAUUCGCUCAAAACUCAAUCAGGAACUGAUGGAUAAGGUAUUGGAUAUUGGUGACAAUAGACUAGAGUAACUGUAGUAGCGACGAUGAAGAUAACGAAAAUAUCGACGACAAUGAGGAAAAUUAUAAGAACGAUUAAAUAUUUUUCUUUGACAUGUAAUAAUAUUUUGUUUGUACUUUAUAAUAUUAAAAUAACAUUUUUUACUUUCUAUAACAUUGCUAUGAACGUAAUAAAA